rnacentral:pre_miRNA from 1 species
GAAAUACUCCCUCCGUCCCAAAAUUCUUGUCUUAGAUUUGUCUAAAUAUGGAUGUAUCAAGUCACGUUUUAGUAUUAGAUACAUCCGUAUCUAGACAAAAUUAAGACAAGAAUUUUGGGACCGAGGGAGUAAUAG